GACGAACGCUGGCGGCGUGCUUAACACAUGCAAGUCGAACGGAAAGGCCCUGCUUUUGUGGGGUGCUCGAGUGGCGAACGGGUGAGUAACACGUGAGUAACCUGCCCUUGACUUUGGGAUAACUUCAGGCAACUGGGGCUAAUACCGGAUAGGAGCUCCUGCUGCAUGGUGGGGGUUGGAAAGUUUCGGCGGUUGGGGAUGGACUCGCGGCUUAUCAGCUUGUUGGUGGGGUAGUGGCUUACCAAGGCUUUGACGGGUAGCCGGCCUGAGAGGGUGACCGGCCCCAUUGGGACGGAGAUACGGCCCGGACUCCUACGGGAGGCAGCAGUGGGGAAUAUUGCACAAUGGGCGGAGGCCUAAUGCAGCAACGCCGCGUGCGGGAUGACGGCCUUCGGGUUGUAAACCGCUUUCGCCUGUGACGAAGCGUGAGUGACGGUAAUGGGUAAAGAAGCACCGGCUAACUACGUG
rnacentral:rRNA from 1 species